GACAGAGGGUGCAAACGUUGUUCGGAAUUACUGGGCGUAAAGAGCUCGUAGGCGGUCUGUCGCGUCGGCUGUGAAAUCCCGAGGCUCAACCUCGGGUCUGCAGUCGAUACGGGCAUCACUGGAGUUCGGCAGGGGAGACUGGAAUUCCUGGUGUAGCGGUGAAAUGCGCAGAUAUCAGGAGGAACACCGGUGGCGAAGGCGGGUCUCUGGGCCGAUACUGACGCUGAGGAGCGAAAGCGUGGGGAGCGAACAGG
rnacentral:rRNA from 1 species